rnacentral:rRNA from 1 species
CACUGGUUUAUAUAUAUAUAUAUAUAUAUAUAUAUUUAUUUUAAUUGGGGUAGCCCCCAAAUUAUUGGGACAUAUAAAAAAAGACAACUCUGUUCCACAGAGUAGCUUUUGACAUUACAGUAGCGCAGGCACUUUGUUGUCUCUAGAGAACCUCGGGCCAAUCGCACAUCCCCGUGGCAGCGACUUUGCAUGCGGAUGUCAUCCAUAUAAACUUUUGAUGUCAGUUUCUGCGCCCACCAUGGUGACCACGGGUAACGGGGAAGCAGGGUUCCAUUCCGUACAGGUACCCUGAGAAACGGCUACCACAUACAAGGAAGGCAGCAGGCGCGCAAAUGACCCACUCCCGACGUGGGAAGGUAGUGAUG